GACGAACGCUGGCGGCGUGCCUAAUACAUGCAAGUAGAACGCAGUUGCGAACGGGUGAGUAACGCGUAGGUAACUUCCUCAUAGCGGGGGAUAACUAUUGGAAACGAUAGCUAAUACCGCAUACUGUGAGAUGGACCUGCGUUGGAUUAGCUAGUUGGUGAGGUAAAGGCUCACCAAGGCCACGUUACAUAGCCGACCUGAGAGGAUGACCAGCCAAACUGGAACUGAGACACGGUCCAGACGCCGAGGGGAGGGAGCAGGAGGGAAUCUUCGGCAAUGGACGAAAGUCUGACCGAGCAACGCCGCGUGAGGGAAGAAGGUUUUCGGAUCGUAAAACUCUGUUGUUAGAGAAGCGGUAUCUAACCAGAAAGCCACGGCUAACUCCGUGCCAACCGCCGCGGUAAUUC
rnacentral:rRNA from 1 species